UACGUAGGGGGCAAGCGUUGUCCGGAAUCAUUGGGCGUAAAGAGCGCGUAGGCGGUCCGGUAAGUCCGCUGUGAAAGUCAAGGGCUCAACCCUUGAAUGCCGGUGGAUACUGUCGGGCUAGAGUCCGGAAGAGGCGAGUGGAAUUCCUGGUGGUAGCGGUGAAAUGCGCAGAUAUCAGGAGGAACACCGGUGGCGAAGGCGGGUCUCUGGGCCGGAUACUGACGCUGAGGAGCGAAAGCGUGGGGAGCGAACAGG
rnacentral:rRNA from 1 species